AAUAUGGUCAUCACUGAUAACUAGAACUAUCCAGCAGUGACUCUAUUACAAACAUGAUACACAAAUGUGUUUCUUUAGUUUGGAUACAUCCCAGAUCAUGGCUGUAAAUUUUUAUGUUAAGGUUCUAGAAAGGUUUCAAUGCUUGUAAAACAGAUAAUUGAAAUGAAAACCAAGGUCUGGAGAGGAGCACUGUAAAAGUGUGACAUUUCACAGUAAUUGAUUGGAACACUGAGACAACUAUGCAAGAAAAGUAUUUGGUGCAGUUCUGGAAGACAAGGAAAUAAUGCAAAGAUGAAGCAAAUGUUGAACUGGGACAAAGCUGCUGCCCAUUAUAACCAGGACUUUUCAACAUAUUUCUUGAACAAAUCCUGACUGGUACCCAAGAAGAUUCUGAAGGCACAGGAUUGGCAGAAGAUUAAUUGCAACCUUAAGAUUUCCAGACAAUGUUGAUCUGUUAACCUGUCCUAAAAGUGAAUUAUUUGAUAUUAGGAGAUUAGAUAUUUAUUCAAGAAAUAUGGUGAGGAGAAUUUGGGUUAUGGGGAUGAAAGAACUGAGAUACAGAUGUGAAUUGAAAUAGAACAAUUAUCAAAGAUCUGGAACAGCAAAAACAUUACAAUGAGUAACAAGCUAUGGCUAAUACAAUCUAUGAUAAGUGCAAUUGUUUCGUAUGGAUGGGAGACAUAGACAUGCUCAAAUAGCAUGGAGAACCCAUGCCAGCAUG